UUGUGUUGGUGUGAAACUUGGAAAUAAGACUGAAAAUAAAAUGUUCAGGUGUGGGCCUGAUAGCACAGAUUAAUUUCACUGAUAAAACAGAUCAAAAGACAUGAUGAUAUCAAUAUGCAGGGUCACAUGUGUUAUAACAUGGAGAGGCUUCAGGGAGAGAGACGCCCCUUCUGCCUUCAGCCAGCCAAAAUUUAAUUGUAUGUAUUAAUUUUGCACUUUUUAAUUGCUAGUUCAUAUCUGUUGAUUUUUUAAUGACAAAGUUUAGUAUGUUUUCGCCUUCUUGUUAUAAGUACAUUAUGUACCUAAUAUGGUAAUAUUAAUUAUGCACCUUUGCAUUGCCAAGUAGUUGUAACUUCUAAAGAAGUAAAAAAUGGUAUUGCAAUUUAAAUAAUUCAUAACAUAUAUAAAUGCUUGUAGCUUUUAAGCUAUAUAAAGCUAUCAACUCCAUAUGUAUGAACAGAUUCUAUAUGCAUUUUUUAAGUUUCCAAGAUUGUGGCUGACCUACGCUCACAGUUCUCAUCAAAAGAAUUCAUUUGUUUUAAUUUUAGCAUGUCACAAAAAUCUUUUGUCCGUCUUUAACAUUUUCGGAAUGAUUGUAUACAAAUGUUUACAAGAAUUGUACUACCGAUAAAAUUACAACAAAAUGUAUGGCAGCGGUGGGAUUCGA